GGUUCCUUAAGUCUGAUGUGAAAGCCCACGGCUCAACCGUGGAGGGUCAUUGGAAACUGGGGAACUUGAGUGCAGGAGAGGGGAGCGGAAUUCCACGUGUAGCGGUGAAAUGCGUAGAGAUGUGGAGGAACACCAGUGGCGAAGGCGGCUCUCUGGCCUGUAACUGACGCUGAGGCGCGAAAGCGUGGGGAGCGAACAGGAUUAGAUACCCUGGUAGUCCACGCCGUAAACGAUGAGUGCUANGUGUUGGAGGGGUCAUACCCUUCAGUGCUGCAGCUAACGCAUUAAGCACUCCGCCUGGGGAGUACGGCCGCAAGGCUGAAACUCAAAGGAAUUGACGGGGGCCCGCACAAGCGGUGGAGCAUGUGGUUUAAUUCGAAGCAACGCGAAGAACCUUACCAGGCCUUGACAUCCUCUGACAACCCUGGAGACAGGGUUUCCCCUUCGGGGGCAGAGUGACAGGUGGUGCAUGGUUGUCGUCAGCUCGUGUCGUGAGAUGUUGGGUUAAGUCCCGCAACGAGCGCAACCUUCGUCCUUAGUUGCCAGCAUUCAGUUGGGCACUCCUAAGGAGGCUGCCGGUGACAAACCGGAGGAAGGUGGGGAUGACGUCAAAUCAUCAUGCCCCUUAUGGCCUGGGCUACACACGUGCUACAAUGGGCGGUACAAAGGGUUGCGAAACCGCGAGGUGGAGCUAAUCCCAAAAAGCCGCUCUCAGUUCGGAUUGCAGGCUGCAACUCGCCUGCAUGAAGCCG
rnacentral:rRNA from 1 species